CAGUCGAACGCGGUUACCUCGCNGGGGUGACUGAGUGGCGAACGGGUGAGUAACACGUGGGUGACCUACCUUCGAGUGGGGGAUAACGUCCCGAAAGGGACGCUAAUACCGCAUAACAUCCUGCCUUUGAACAGGUGGAGAUCAAAGCUGGGGAUCGCAAGACCUGGCGCUUGAUGAGGGGCCCGCGUCCGAUUAGCUAGUUGGUGGGGUAACGGCCCACCAAGGCGACGAUCGGUAACCGGCCUGAGAGGGCGGACGGUCACACUGGGACUGAGACACGGCCCAGACUCCUACGGGAGGCAGCAGUGGGGAAUUGUUCGCAAUGGGCGCAAGCCUGACGACGCAACGCCGCGUGGAGGAUGAAGGUCUUCGGAUUGUAAACUCCUGUUGCCCGGGACGAAAUGCUUCAACCUAAUACGUUGAAGUUUGACGGUACCGGGUGAGGAAGCCCCGGCUAACUCUGUGCCAGCAGCCGCGGUAAUACAGAGGGGGCAAGCGUUGUUCGGAAUUACUGGGCGUAAAGGGCGCGUAGGCGGCCUGCUAAGUCGAACGUGAAAUCCCUGGGCUCAACCCAGGAACUGCGUCCGAUACUGGAAGGCUUGAAUCCGGGAGAGGGAUGUGGAAUUCCAGGUGUAGCGGUGAAAUGCGNAGAUAUCUGGAGGAACACCGGUGGCGAAGGCGGCAUCCUGGACCGGUAUUGACGCUGAGGCGCGAAAGCCAGGGGAGCAAACGGGAUUAGAUACCCCGGUAGUCCUGGCCCUAAACGAUGAAUGCUUGGUGUGGCGGGUAUCGAUCCCUGCCGUGCCGAAGCUAACGCAUUAAGCAUUCCGCCUGGGGAGUACGGUCGCAAGGCUG
rnacentral:rRNA from 1 species